rnacentral:pre_miRNA from 1 species
GCGCUGAAAGUGAGAGUUGGAUGAAGACAAACUAGUUCAACAGAUGGACAAUUGUGGUCCGUUGAUCAGCUUGUUUUCCUCCAAUAUCUCACCUUCGGUCG